rnacentral:rRNA from 1 species
AUUGAACGCUGGCGGCAGGCCUAACACAUGCAAGUCGAACGGCGAGUGGAACGGGUGAGUGAUGCCUAGGAAUCUGCAUGGUAGUAGGGUACACCUUCCGGAGACGGGAGCUAAUAACGCAUGCUAUCAGAUGAGCCUAGGUCGGAUUAGCUAGUUGGACGGGUAAUGGCUUACCAAGGCGACGAUGCGUAGCCGGCCUGAGAGGAUGAUCAGUCACACUGGAACUGAGACACGGCCCAGACUCCUACGGGAGGCAGCAGUAGGGAAUAUUGGACAAUGGGCGAAAGCCUGAUCGAGCCAUGCCGCGUGAGUGAAGAAGGUUUUCGGAUUGUAAAGCACUGUUGGUUGGGAGGCGUUACCAACAGAGUAAGCAACGGCUAACUUCGUGCCAGCAGCCGCGGUAAUUC